GUCCACACCGUAAACGAUGAUUACUAGGUGUUGGAGGAUUGACCCCUUCAGUGCCGCAGUUAACACAAUAAGUAAUCCACCUGGGGAGUACGACCGCAAAGGUUGAAACUCAAAGGAAUUGACGGGGGCCCGCACAAGCAGUGGAGUAUGUGGUUUAAUUCGACGCAACGCGAAGAACCUUACCAAGUCUUGACAUCCCUUGACGAUACUGGAAAACAGUAUUUUCCUUCGGGACGCAGAGACAGGUGGUGCAUGGUUGUCGU
rnacentral:rRNA from 1 species